UACGGAGGAUGCGAGCGUUAUCCGGAUUUAUUGGGUUUAAAGGGUGCGCAGGCGGAUUUUUAAGUCAGCGGUCAAAUCGUGGGGCUCAACCCCAUCCAGCCGUUGAAACUGGGGAUCUAGAGUGUGCGGGAGGUAUGCGGAAUGCGUGGUGUAGCGGUGAAAUGCAUAGAUAUCACGCAGAACCCCGAUUGCGAAGGCAGCAUACCGGUGCACAACUGACGCUCAGGCACGAAAGCGUGGGUAUCGAACAGG
rnacentral:rRNA from 1 species